UCAAAGAGGGGGGGCAAGGGGGGUCCCAAUAACAGCAUAACAGCAAAUUGAUUUGGCUUAUAACAGAUAACAAGGAAUUAAAAUGGACAAAAACAGAUAACAGUAAAUGAAAUAUUAAAAUAAGUGUGGUCCUGGACUGAUUGAACGAUUAUGUCUCCAUCAUAUGAAAAUCAAGCACAAUCCCUACCGUUGCUGAUUUUUUUCAUUAAUUGUAAC
rnacentral:lncRNA from 1 species